AUGCGCCAUGGCACCACCAUUUUGUCUACAGAAAAUGGUUCCAAUUCCAGCCAUCCACCAUUGAAAAAACAUGGUUGUACGAGAGUUGUAACAAGGGCAAUACAAUCAGAGCAGAGCAGAACAGAAAACAGCAUGAUUGCUAAAAGUGACUUGUUAAUAUCAGCGAGCCACACAUUGAGAUUGUUAAAACUUCAAAGUGACUGGAUAAUGUCAGUGAGCCAGACACGGAGCAGGGCCGCCAUCAGCAAGUCUCAAGUAAAACAAGUAAAGUCUCAAGUCUUGCCUGGAUUCAGUGAAACAAGUAUUGUUUUUGCAUAUAAAAAAGAAAAUCUGAAAAUGUGA
rnacentral:rRNA from 1 species